GUUAUGUUCACUACCGAAGCAAAUCAUGUUUCUGCUUGUAGAAGAGAAACAAGUUUGGGAAAGCAUUGUGAUUUGUAUGCUAGCCCGACUUUAAUUUCCUGUCAACCACAUACUUGUGACACACACCUGGGGAGCUGAGGUCAACAUCUGAAGCACAGGGGAACAUGUCAGAGCACCGGCAUGUCGGUGAGCUCAGAAGAUUGCUUAAAUGGCUGCUGUUUGUCUGGGGAGUAGGCUUAGAUCUUCCACAUCGAGAGCACAGGAUCAGCUUUCAAGGCUGAAAAGGUUGUAAACAAAACUACAUUGUUCCACCUCAGCCACAGAAAGUCACCUUCAUCCCAAAUGUUGGUGUUCGUUCAGUGCUACGGUGAGCCCAUGGGCUGUGUUGGUCCCACCUUAUCCUAAGCACUUGGCUGAGUUGUCCAAGGUCUCCCAUUUGUUCUGUGGAAAGAGAAGGGAUGAUUCAGAUUGGUGUAACUGCUUGGAAGAUGAGGGUGGCAAUGCCGGUAAGUUAGGAGCCUCAAUUAAAUGACACAGGUCGCGACUUAAGAAGGUGUGUUUAAAUCCUCUGUACUUGAGACUCCUUAAUUUACUUUGAUGACCCUUCUGUCAAGCAUGAGGAAAUAGCACAGCUCAGUGCAGUGGCCCCAGUGUCAGCAGCAAUGCAUACUGCACUCAGUUUUGAGCUCGUGGGACGCAGAGUGCAGCUGCGCAGCCUUCCCAUCCUCCGCAUCUCCAUCACAUCUAAAUCUGAACCUGCUCCUGAAAUACAGAGCUUUGAGAUGUGUAAGCUAAUAAUUGGUGUUGAGCACAGAUCCAUAGAUUGAUGAGUUCACCUCGAAUGUAUUGCGUAUACACUUUUUGGAGUAAACUAUGUAGAAUUGUUCCUAGGAAAAAUGCUAAUUGCUUCCCGAGAAAUUGCCACUUGCAAUUGACUACAUACUCUCCUCCCUAGCUUUGACCCAUUUUCCUCGUGCUGUACAGUGCCUGGAAUGUGUUUGUUUGUCCUGCUGGCUCCUGAUUCUGGCGACCUCCUCCAGCCGUUCCAGGAAGAUCAGCCUAACACACACUUUGUUGUUGUUGUUGUUACAUGCAAUCUGUCUUCUUUCUGUCCAAAUUUCUCUUUAAUUUGCACUAGUCUAU
rnacentral:lncRNA from 1 species